rnacentral:rRNA from 1 species
UCGAGGGGCAGCACGUCUUCGGAUGGUGGCGACCGGCAAACGGGUGCGGAACACGUACACAACCUUCCUUUUGGUGGGGGAUAGCCCUUGGAAACGAGGAUUAAUACCCCAUAAUACAGGGGCCCCGCAUGGGGAUAUUGUUAAAGAUUUAUUGCCAGAAGAUGGGUGUGCGUAUGAUUAGGUAGAUGGCGGGGUAAUGGCCCACCAUGGCGAUGAUCAGUAGGGGCUCUGAGAGGAGCGGCCCCCACACUGGCACUGAGACACGGGCCAGACUCCUACGGGAGGCAGCAGUAGGGAAUAUUGGGCAAUGGUCGCAAGACUGACCCAGCCAUGCCGCGUGCAGGAUGAAGGCGCUCAGCGUUGUAAACUGCUUUUGAUAGGGAAGAACGGCCAUCCUGCGGGGUGGUGUGACGGUACCUACAGAAUAAGCACCGGCUAACUCCGUGCCAGCAGCCGCGGUAAUACAGAGGGUGCAAGCGUUGUCCGGAUUUAUUGGGUUUAAAGCGUGCGUAGGUGGCUUUUUAAGUCGGAUGUGAAAUCCCUGAGCUUAACUUAGGAAUUGCAUUCGAUACUGGGAAGCUAGAGUAUGGGAGAGGAUGGUAGAAUUCCAGGUGUAGCGGUGAAAUGCGUAGAGAUCUGGAGGAAUACCGAUGGCGAAGGCAGCCAUCUGGCCUAAUACUGACGCUGAGGUACGAAAGCAUGGGGAGCAAACAGGAUUAGAUACCCUGGUAGUCCAUGCCGUAAACGAUGAAUACUAGGUGUUGGGAGAAGUUCUCAGUGCCGUAGCAAACGCAUUAAGUAUUCCACCUGGGGAGUACGAUCGCAAGGUUGCUGUCG